UCUCGGAUGACUUGUGGUUAGGGGUGAAAGGCCAAUCAAACCGGGAAAUAGCUGGUUCUCCGCGAAAUCUAUUUAGGUAGAGCCUCGCAUGUAUGUCACGGGGGGUAGAGCACUGGAUGGGCUAGGGGGGCUUACCGCCUUACCAAACCUAACCAAACUCCGAAUACCCGUGAACUUGUGCGGGAGGCACACGGUGGGUGCUAACGUCCAUCGUGAAGAGGGAAACAACCCAGACCAACAGCUAAGGCCCCCAAUUCGCGGCUAAGUGGGAAAGGAUGUGGGAAUCCCAAAACAACCAGGAGGUUGGCUUAGAAGCAGCCAUCCUUUAAAGAAAGCGUAACAGCUCACUGGUCUAGACAAGGGUUCCUGCGCCGAAGAUGUACCGGGGCUCAAGCCGCGAGCCGAAGCUUUGGGUUCACGAGCGAUCGUGAGCGGUAGCGGAGCGUUCCGUAGGUCCGUGAAGGGACAGCCGCGAGGCAUCCUGGAGAUAUCGGAAGUGCGAAUGCUGACAUGAGUAACGACAAACGCUGUGAAAGACAGCGUCGCCGAAAGUCCAAGGGUUCCUGCGUAAAGUUAAUCUUCGCAGGGUUAGCCGGCCCCUAAGGCGAGGCCGAAAGGCGUAGUCGAUGGGAACGGGGCGAACAUUCCCCGGCCAGCGGAUGGUGACGGAUGCCGUGUAUCGUUUGACCUUAUCGGAUUGGUCAGGCGGUGAAGGGGUCCCAGGAAAUAGCCUCCGCGUGAGACCGUACCCGAAACCGACACAGGUGGACUGGUAGAGUAUACCAAGGCGCUUGAGAGAAGUGUCCUGAAGGAACUCGGCAAAUUGCCUCCGUACCUUCGGAAGAAGGAGGCCCCGGCUAUGCGCAAGCACUGCCGGGGGGCACAGGCCAGGGGGUAGCGACUGUUUAGCAAAAACACAGGGCUCUGCUAAGUCGGCUUCAAGACGACGUAUAGGGUCUGACGCCUGCCCGGUGCCGGAAGGUUAAGAGGAGAGGUGAGAGCUUUGAAUCGAAGCCCCGGUAAACGGCGGCCGUAACAAUAACGGUCCUAAGGUAGCGAAAUUCCUUGUCGGGUA
rnacentral:rRNA from 1 species